GUGGGGGAUAUUGCACAAUGGGGGGAACCCUGAUGCAGCGACGCCGCGUGAGUGAAGAAGUCAUUCGUGAUGUAAAGCUCUAUCAGCAGGGACGAAAAUGACGGUACCUGAGUAAGAAGCCCCGGCUAACUACGUGCCAGCAGCCGCGGUAAUACGUAGGGGGCAAGCGUUAUCCGGAUUUACUGGGUGUAAAGGGAGCGUAGACGGCGAAGCAAGUCUGGAGUGAAAGCCCGGGGCCCAACCCCGGGACUGCUCUGGAAACUGCGGCGCUGGAGUGCAGGAGGGGUAAGCGGAAUUCCUGGUGUAGCGGUGAAAUGCGUAGAUAUCAGGAGGAACACCGGUGGCGAAGGCGGCUUACUGGACUGCAACUGACGUUGAGGCUCGAAGGCGUGGGGAGCAAACAGGA
rnacentral:rRNA from 1 species